rnacentral:rRNA from 1 species
UGGGGAAUAUUGGACAAUGGGCGAAAGCCUGAUCCAGCCAUGCCGCGUGUGUGAAGAAGGUCUUUGGAUUGUAAAGCACUUUAAGUUGGGAGGAAGGGCAGUAAGCGAAUACCUUGCUGUUUUGACGUUACCGACAGAAUAAGCAUCGGCUCACUCUGUGCCAGCAGCCGCGGUAAUACAGAGGGUGCAAGCGUUAAUCGGAAUUACUGGGAGUAAAGCGCGCGUCGGUGGUUCGUUAAGUUGAAUGUGAAAGCCCCGGGCUCAACCUGGGAACGGCAUCCAGAACUGGCGAGCUAGAGUAGGGCAGAGGGUGGUGGAAGUUCCUGUGUAGCGGUGAAAUGCGUAGAUAUAGAAAGGAACACCAGUGGCGAAGGCGACCACCUUGGCUCAUACUGACACUGAGGUGCGAAAGCGUGGGGAGCAAACAGG